ACAUUAGCUAGUAGAAAACAUGCUUUAUAACUUGGUAAAUAGUUACAAGCUCCAGGAAUAUGAUAAAGAAAAUUCCUAGCAGGACUGAUGGAUCAUUGACACCCAGAUUUACUACAGAAAUUUACAACAUAAAACUAAAGAACAUUUUUUUAAUGAAAUUUAGAAAGAAAAAUUUUAUAACCACAGCACAAAUUUUGAAUGACAUACAUAAAAAUAGUCUCUCUUAGCACCAACCUGAAGUCAGGCAAAUUAUAAACAGCAUACAAAGAGAGAGAAGAAGAUAAUGAAGAGAAAUUAAAAGAAAUAAGGCUUCAUUAAA
rnacentral:misc_RNA from 1 species